rnacentral:rRNA from 1 species
GACGAACGCUGGCGGCGUGCUUAACACAUGCAAGUCGAACGGAAAGGCCCUGCUUUUGUGGGGUGCUCGAGUGGCGAACGGGUGAGUAACACGUGAGUAACCUGCCCUUGACUUUGGGAUAACUUCAGGAAACUGGGGCUAAUACCGGAUAGGAGCUCCUGCUGCAUGGUGGGGGUUGGAAAGUUUCGGCGGUUGGGGAUGGACUCGCGGCUUAUCAGCUUGUUGGUGGGGUAGUGGCUUACCAAGGCUUUGACGGGUAGCCGGCCUGAGAGGGUGACCGGCCACAUUGGGACUGAGAUACGGCCCAGACUCCUACGGGAGGCAGCAGUGGGGAAUAUUGCACAAUGGGCGGAAGCCUGAUGCAGCAACGCCGCGUGCGGGAUGACGGCCUUCGGGUUGUAAACCGAUUUCGCCUGUGACGAAGCGUGAGUGACGGUAAUGGGUAAAGAAGCACCGGCUAACUACGU